rnacentral:lncRNA from 1 species
GAUUAACCCAGAUACGUGCAAGCUAGUCCCAACACCUGAUUAUAAAAAUAAAAAAAAAAACUAAAAAUCAACUUGUUUGGUAACUUGGUUGAAUAACCAAACAAGGAAAUAUUAAUGGAAAGACUAGUUAGAGAAUAUCAACUUGCUUGACCUUCUAUGUAUAUAAGAUUGAGGUGUGACCUGCCUAACAAACCUACUUUCCUUAAUCAAAACAGAAGACUAGUGGUUUAGGCAUGCGAUAGUAAACUAAAAAGGACUUGUUCAAGCAUAUCAACCAUGGGGUUCUAUUUUUCUAUAUAUAGAAUGUGUUAUUUUGCAAGAGCUUCUAUCUUACAAAUUGUGGAUUAUUGUAAUUAAUUUGUGUCUAUUUUUCACUCGAUCGUUACGGCUAUGUGCAUAUAGCUAGAAAGAAUAUACUACGAAAAGUUGGCUAAAAUUGAAUCUAAUUUAUUCGAACCUAUAAGUUAGGAAAAAAAUACUACUUUUCGUAUUCCACUUUUCUUUAAAAUACACUCCCUCUUCCGGUUACCAAUAGCUAAACACCCUUAUAACUAAUACCCUUCUAACAUAGUUUAAAAUGGCCCUUUUCUUGUCCCCCAGUUCUCCUCUCUCCCUUGCUCUCCGGCUCUCAAACGAAUUCAAGAUUUUUUUUCCAAGAAGGGAACCGAACCUGGCCAUAUAGAUAUCACUAGUCAUUAUAUUGUUGCGGUGUCAAUUUUGUAAAGUUUUUUUUAUAUAUAUAAAGUCCUAUUUGUAGCACCUGUAAUUUUUAUGAUGACAAAAUGAAAAACGAAAUUGAAUGUUAAAAUUGUUAGAUUUAAUAGUAGAGAGACGAAAUUGAGAAUCGAGUACAACUAGAGAGUCUAGAGAGUCGAUUUUUUUAAUUUUCCCUUACCAAACACAAACAAACAAACUUGAACUGGACUUAUGCACAUGAACAGUACAAAUUACGUUACUCAUACCCUUGAUAAAACCCCUUACAAGCACACAUUUUCCUCAUAGCGUUAAUACCCCUACUCACUAGCACACACAAUAAAAAGGUCACCAAAAUUGUAUGGGCGCUGCCCAACGAAAUUGCCAGGGGGAUCAUAGUUGCAAGUAAUGAACCAAAACCCACUAUUGCACAGAACCUGAGCGCACCCGAGCCGGACCGAGGUUUUCCACACAAUUUGAGUGUAGUGCCCACAAACCUUACCGGAGGCACAUGAAUUGGAGUUGUAGUCAUAGUAUGGCUUUUCUCCAGUCCAUAGGCCCACGGCCAUGGCCCCAGUGAAGUCGCCACUGCCUGCGGCGAUGUUCUCGCCGUACGUCCCGCCACCGUCGGAGUGGAUCAUAGCACAAUCGCCAGCCCUAUGGUUAGUGUAGUUUUGGGCGAAGGCAGCCACGUCGGGGUCCCAGGUCAUGGGCCCAACCCCAACUUGGGCACGAACGGUGUUGUGGGCAUUGAGGUAGUCUUGUGGGGAGUUUUGGGCUAGGGAGGAGUGAACCAUGGCUAGGAUUGCGAAACAAACAAGAGCUAAUGAUGAGUUCUUAGACAACCCCAUUUUUUCUCUCCAAGUUUUGUAGAAGAUU